rnacentral:rRNA from 1 species
CUACGGAGGGUGCAAGCGUUAUUCGGAAUCACUGGGCGUAAAGGGUGCGUAGGCGGUUUGAUAAGUCUGAUGUGAAAUCCUAUGGCUCAACCAUAGAACUGCAUUGGAAACUGUCAGACUAGAAUACUGAAGGGGCAGAUGGAAUUAGUGGUGUAGGGGUAAAAUCCGUAGAUAUCACUAGGAAUACCGAAAGCGAAAGCGAUCUGCUGGGAAGUUAUUGACGCUGAGGCACGAAAGCGUGGGGAGCAAACGGGAUUAGAAACCCUUGUAGUCC